GACGAACGCUGGCGGCGUGCUUAACACAUGCAAGUCGAACGGAAAGGCCCUGCUUUUGUGGGGUGCUCGAGUGGCGAACGGGUGAGUAACACGUGAGUAACCUGCCCUUGACUUUGGGAUAACUUCAGGAAACUGGGACUAAUACCGGAUAGGAGCUCCUGCUGCAUGGUGGGGGUUGGAAAGUUUCGGCGGUUGGGGAUGGACUCGCGGCUUAUCAGCUUGUUGGUGGGGUAGUGGCUUACCAAGGCUUUGACGGGUAGCCGGCCUGAGAGGGUGACCGGCCACAUUGGGACUGAGAUACGGCCCAGACUACUACGGGAGGCAGCAGUGGGGAAUAUUGCACAAUGGGCGGAAGCCUGAUGCAGCAACGCCGCGUGCGGGAUGACGGCCUUCGGGUUGUAAACCGCUUUCGCCUGUGACGAAGCGUGAGUGACGGUAAUGGGUAAAGAAGCACCGGCUAACUACGUG
rnacentral:rRNA from 1 species